CUUGUUUGAAUAUCGGGGAGUGGAUGGAUUUUGUUCUGCUUGUGGUUCUGGUGGCCCCGAUGACGAGGUUAGCGAUCUUCAAACGGUAGCUAAACCAUUCUGACGAUCUGCCGGAAUGCUUAGUUCCCCGGAACAUAUCAUGAACUCUCACGUUCCACUCCUAAUUUCAUUUUCAUCAUCGAAAGCCAUCCGACAGUUACGACCGCCCUGAGUUAUGGCACCGCCUACAGCAUCCGGUGAUUGGCGAGCGCACUGACAGAUUGACAGCUCCGUAGCCCUGCCCCCUUCGGAAUCCGGCUUCUGAGUUAAAUAUGGCUACCUUGGACGUCAUCUUUUCCCGGGAGUCAUUUUACGAUAUUACUCUUGCACCUUUUGUGCGUGCAAGUUUAUGUUCUCGACGACAUCUCGAAAAUGACGCUGUCACCUGAAACCUGAUCGAGUUCAGUUCAGCUUAAACCAGCCAAAUCCAAACAUCAUCGCCAAACGAAGUUGCAUAACUGUCGCCCGUGGCACCCCUGUCGAGUCCAAAGGAAUCAGAUGCCGUGGAUCAAAUGUUUCUAGUCAUCAUUCCCAAGCGGCUUUACUGUGAUAACUUAGUGAACACGUAACAACGUCAUUAAGUGUUGCACACCAGUUUCAUCUUCAUUGCUUAAAAUUUGUGACUAAUCGUUUGAUACUUCAUACCGUAGCAUGACAUCGUAUUACAAUACACCUGGUCCUUACCUGACUGACAUGCGCAAUGGAGGUAACGACCCACAGCAGCAUUAUAACCCACCGUCAAUACAAAAUGGGGACUCAUGCGACCAACGACAGUACCUGCAGCCCCAGUAUGCCACUUCACCGGUGCAGGGGCAAACAUACCCUCGCUUUCCACCUUAUGAUAGACUCGAGAUACGCCCCAUCACUGCCCAUUCUGAUGAUUCCCAAAGUCCGCCGGGGCAUUAUUACUCACAGUGCAGUCAGUCUCAGGGCAACAUGCCCCAGCCGGCACAUCAGACACCCCAGCAUACGCCCUUGACGCAUCCCAACGCUUAUGUACCACAAGAUGGGGUGCAGCAGAACUGCAGGGGUUCGCCGACUGAACCCCAAAACAUGGUACCCCAACAAUUCGCCAGCUGUAAACUUCAGCAACAGCAGAAUCCUCAGGCGAUGGUGCAAGAUCCCAACGGUGUCCAUAGGCCUGUGAAUCCCGAUUGCGCUGCAAAUAAUAUGCAUCCGCAACAUUGUCAAAGUCCCGUGCAUUCUCCGCAGCAGAUGUACCCGCCUAAUCAUGUUCAGCAACAACCACCAACUCCACAGAAUGUUAACCAAGUGCAGCCUGGUAAUGCCGGCAGUACCCUAUAUCCAUGGAUGAGGAGUCAGUUCGAGAGGAAGCGAGGCCGACAGACGUACACCCGCUACCAGACCCUGGAGUUGGAGAAGGAAUUUCAUUUCAACCGCUACUUGACGCGUCGGCGCAGGAUCGAGAUCGCUCACGCCCUGUGUCUGACGGAGCGACAGAUCAAAAUCUGGUUCCAGAACCGACGCAUGAAGUGGAAAAAAGAAAACAAAGCCAAGAUCGAGUCCGGCAUCAUCAUGGGCCCCGGCGGACCGGAGCUUGUGCACCACCUAGACAGACCACCAAUGACUUCUGUAUGACUAGACGGGGAUGAGGAGUCUCAAUACAGAUAUGUUAGCAACUAGCGAAGAGGUAGAGUUGUACAUAAGAAGACUCUCAGAUGUUCGAAAUAAACAGUGGUGUGGGAACAUCUCUUUCUUUUUUUUUUUUGUAGCAAGCAGAUUCGGAGAACUUUAGUAAAACUCAUAAAUAUCCAAGAAAGCAUAUGGCCUUCAAAAAUGUCUGUUUAUGAAUCCUAUUGGAUUACAAGAAUCAUCAAAAUGCUGUAAUAUAUAUGGCCUAUGUCAAGAAUUGCAUGAUAAUUUUGAUUUUUUUCCCUGUACAGCUGAGUUGUGCUCUAAGGACACUUGUCUCUUAUUUACACGUAUGAAUGGAUGUCAAGUGAUAAUUUUGUGCUGGAUUAUACUGCAGACCCUUUGGUCUAUUGUCUACUGGUUAUUAAAAGUUGUGUUUAUUGGAAUUAAAUUUGAAAAAAAAGGACUUAAUGAUUAACGUGAUAUAUUCAUAAUAAAUGUUCCCAAGACUUGCAUUAUUAAUUAAAACAACGUGGAUUUUUUCAUAUUAACAUGCGCAUUCCAUUGAAAAGCGGAAGUGACCAAUUUUACCGGUGGUUUGCUCAAACAUUUGUGGAAUUAUGAAGAAAUAUUUUGAAAUAAAAUUUCAGGGAUGUCUCUAAGCAUUUAAAUUAUUUAUUUAUCCAUUGCUGCCGAAAUCAUACAUGAUACUCCCUGACUGUCGAUAAAACUUAAUAUUUCGCAAAGGCAUGAUAUUGUAACGCCAGAUUUUUUCACUCAUGAAUACUCAAAGUCGAAGACGACGAGAAGUUUUUUGUUCUCUCACGCAUUGUAAACGUUUGCCUAGUUCACCUAUCAGGAUGUGCCGUUUCUGUUAAGGGGCACAAGAGAAAUUCGCAAAGGGGCCGUGAAGAAGCUAACUUCUUGCUGCCUGAGGGCGUGGGCUUACAUUGCAUCAUGGUGACAGAAGACGAUAAAUCAAUUUCGAAUGCAACCCAGUUCACAAAUGAAACUCAGACCCCCGUGGCUUCUUUCUAAUGUAAGUGCAAGAUCCUAGAAAAGAAAAGGGGGUUGGGAAGACGAAGAUGCGAUAUGAAAAACGAAUGUUUCAACUUUGUAUCCUUCGACCCCUCUCCUUCAGAGCAAGGAAAGGACCCUCCGGCGAACUGGGGGGUGCAAAGAACUCCUGGGUGCGAGUCCAGCUGGUAUCUGAACCCCUCCCCCCAAAGAAAACGAGCAUCUUUUCAACUAGAUUCAAGUCAUCCCUUGAAAACUCUCCCUGGAAAUAGGAUGAAGCAGACCAACCCUAUGCAAUGUGCUGGAAGACCACUAAGUCAUUUUUUUUUUUCAUAUACUAUGUCCCUCAUGAAGAAGACUCAUGGAUUACUUUUUUGAUUUUUUUUGUUUUGUUUUUAUCAUGAUAAAAUUAUGUUGUGUACAGAAAACUGACCUCCUUCAGGAUUUUUCUCCUGAACCAAGAAAAGAAACUGAUUAUCCAGGAUUAGCUCUGAGCAAGAAACUUUGAUUAAUGGGGAAAUUUCUGAAAUAAUUUCAUUCAUGGCUUUUGGCAAGAGGCAAAAUGAAAAUCUUCAUCACACUUAAUUCUGUAAUGGACAUUUUAACUCCAGCUACAGCUGUUUCCCCAGGCAGCUGUCCUGGUUGAAGGUCUGCUCUAGUUUAACCGCAUCGAUUUUGCACGUAAUUAAGUUGCUGCAGAAAUUGAUAAACAGGCUGAUUUUACAGAAAUUAGGCGGAGGAACUGUGGUUAUGGCCAAAAGUUCGUUUAUCUGCAAAGGGGCUGGAACUUAUAACUUCGUAAGCUCUAUUCUUCUUUCAAAAUGGUAUUAGAAGAGCUGUUGACAGAUUUAGAAAUCUGAUAGAUUUCACUUUCAUGAAAAUGCUGUUGAAGAUGACCUACUGGUUAUUUAUCCGACAUGAUUUACGAGUGAUUAAUUUGUAUAUCCAUUCAGAUGUGUUGAAACUUCACCAAACCAUAAGUUUAUUGAAGUUGGGGUUUAAGGCCACAAGAAUCAAAUCUUGCACCAAACGCAUGAUGAAUUUCCAAUUUUAAAAUGAAAAUAAAGAAACUUUAAAUGGCAACAUCAAUGAAUAUGAAUGGCAAUGUAUAGCAGUUGGUCAAACCAUGAACACCAAUAUUGAAGAACAUCUAUUCCCUACUGAAUGUUAUGAAAAGACAAGCUCAUCUACCAGAAUUUCCUAUUCUUCAUCUUUGUGGGUGUGCUAUGAUAUCAUUCAAGAAUGGAGUUGCAUAUUGAUGAACUCACUGAGAGACUUUCCAGCCACCCUAAUCACCAGAACGAGGAUUAAUUGAUUGCUGAAUAUGUAAUAUCGGAAGAUACAAAGUUCCACCAACAAGCAGAAGACUAUGGAAUGAAUAACAAAUAAUGAUUAGUUUCUGAAAAGAUUUCCAACCUUGUCUGCUGUGAAGUCAUAAUUUGUCCUGUAUUUUUUAAUACAAUGAGUGAAGAAAUGGUGGAAAUUACAUUCUUUUCAUGACCUAUCUAAUGAUAGCCUCUCCCCCCCCCCAGCAGUGGCAAGGACAAAAUUGCUUCAAUUAAACGAAGGAUACUCGCAGCAUACUAAUACAAUAGUGUAUCAAAAGAACAAUGUCUCCUAUCGAAAACUUUGUUUAUAAUAUCGAGAACGAGAACCAAACUCAAAAUCCAGUUUUCACGAGAAUGUCCAACACCAAACAGACUCCAUUUCUCCCAAGUUCCUUUCUUCCAUGUCAACAGAAAAGAAAGCAAUCCACAACAACGAUAAGCAAAACAGAGAGAAAAAAAAAUCACUAUAAUACGACCAAUGACUGACAAAAGUUAAUUCUUUGUGACUGAAUUUUUUCACAUCAAAAAGAAUCUAAUUCAAAGGCCAGUUUUCAUAACAAUGACCAAAACUAGGCAGUGACAAUUUCUUUUUCCAAACGCAAAAUCCAGUCUUUAUUAGAAUGUCCAACACCAGACAGAGUCCAUUUCUCCCAAGUUCCUUUCCUCCAUGUCAACAGAAAAGAAAGCAAUCCACAACAACGAUAAGCAAAACAGAGAGAAAAAAAAUCAAUAUAAUACGAACAACGACUGACAAAAGUAAAUUACAACAACAAAUUUACUUUUCAUAAUACUUGUAAAUAUUUUUUUUCAUACGUAGUAAGCAGGUACUUUUAAAUUUACUUACUUCAGGUUUUUUUUUCAGGUUAAUUCUUUGUGACUGAAUUUUUUUCGCAUCGAAAAGAAUCUAAUUCAAAGGCCAGUUUUCAUAACAAUGACCAAAACUAGGCAGUGACCAUUUCUUUUUCCAAAAACUAGUUUCUUUCUUAGACGUCGGCAUUUACGAAAGCAAUCCUAAUAACAGCAAGAAGGAGGGGGGAAAAAAAAACAUAUAACAUGGCAAGAUAGUGCGUCCGAUGAGUGGCAAGAGUAAGCGUCCUCCGGAAUGCUGACACAGCCUUCGCCUUGAGGUGGCGAUAGCCUACUUAUCGCGACAUGCCCCAUUCUUAACGCCACUCUCUACACUGCAGGUAAGUUGGGGACAGUAAUGAAUAGGCACCGGCCAAGAAAACCAAACAAAUCAAUGAAAAAGAGCGAAAACCUGCGGUCUCUGCGACCGUCAGGAAGUGUUAUCUGGCGGGCGUCGAUAAAAAUGGAGUCUCGGCUUAGCGCCCCUCGAUUAAGUUGUCAGCCCCGCGCAACCAUUAUUUCUGCUCCUUUUCUCUUCGCUUAUCUCGGACGCUGAUAAUGCCGCUGCCACCGGCAGGAAGUGAGGGUCGCGUGCCUCUCGGUCCGAAAAGUACAUUCCGUGACUGUUGCAUCACGUCACUUAUUUAUGGCAUUCGGUUUCGAAAAUGAAGACUUCAACAUAAAGAUAAUGAAAUGACAACUGCUCCAAUUGUUGCAUCAAGUGCGAAUGGCAAUAUUAAGUGAGCUGAUAAGUAAGCAUGUAGAAAAUGUUUUAUAUCUGCGUAACUUGGAAAGAUAUAGAAAUUAAAAAAAAAAAAGAAAAUACAAGAUUUUUUUAUAUAUAUAUAUUUAAAGGGUUGUAAUAUUCAUAUUUUAAAAAUUACGAGAGUAUAUUAUUGCACUAAUUUUGCAUUUUCUGUAAAAUAAUUUUUUUACAUUAAUUUCAGCCUUUUUCGAAAACUACACUUAAAUAAUUCUGUACUUACAGAUGUAUAGAAUUCGGUUCGGAAAUGGACGGUUCAACCUGGAGAUAAUGAGAUGACGAUUGUUUAGAUUGUUGCAUCAAAUGCUAAUUGUAGCAAUAAGUAAGUAAUUUACAUCAAAGUUUAGUGAAUACUACGAAUGGUUAUUGUCGCCAUUUUGUCUGACUCUGAUUGGUGGAAGGUGAGAAACUUGUUGAUUGGCUGAAGUGGAAAAGAAUUGGAAAGUUAACUUAAUCAUAAUUUUUAUACAUGAAUAUGUAAUAAAUUUUAUAAUUGAUAAUUUUUUCAUAAAUUUUAGAAAACUUUUGUUUGAUAUAUAAUUUUGCUAAUAAAAUUUGGUGAACUUCAAACUUAAUUUUUAUAUUAAUUAUGUUAGGCCUUAUUGUUAUACACUAAAGUUAGAAAAUUAUUUACAAAAUGCAUAGUAAAGUAUAUUUUCAGUUGAACUACAGAUAUGUAUGCAUUUAUAUCCUGAAAACACCUUUUGUUUUAAAAAAUAGAUUGAUGUAUAAAUUAUGAAAGAAAAAACAAUUUAUUAUCAUUUUUUAUAAAAAAAAUUAUUAUUAUUGACAGUGUUUCUUACUUUACUAAAGCUUUAAUUUAAUGAGUAAGAGCUAAAUUUUUUUAAAUGCGAACAGUACACAUACACAGAAACUAGAUUUUCGGCAAAAUACCUUCUUAUUAUAAUCAAGGGUCAUUGUAUACUGCGUAAUACAUUACGUGAAAAUUUAUUACAGCUUGCUUAUGAUAUUGCGAAUUUCAAUAUAACUGUACUAAUAGAAUUUUCAUAACAUAGAAUUUACCAAAAAUGGAAUUUCUUUUCAUUUGCAUGCUGUACAAUUAAAUUUACACGAUUUAAAAAAAAAAUCAAUAAUUCACUUUGAUUCUAUUUCAAGAUAUUUUUUUUUCUCUACACAGAAGAUUUAUGUAAUUGUCUGGAUGAAAAUUACAAUAACACCUUGAAGUAACUUUUCUCAAACACACCUCUCAGGAUCAAAGACACAGUACAAGUUCUUGAACAUAUGAUUGGCUAAUUCAAGUAGCGGGUUAUUGCCGUUCGCUUUAUAGCCAAUCAGAAAACGGAAUCCUAAUUAAUUAUGUUUCAAUGCUAUAAAUGCUUUGAAAAUGGAUGUAGAGAAUCUAUACUUGAAUGAAAAUUAUUAAAAAAGCAAAAUUAGUAAUAUAACUUCUAUAAUUACAAAUGGAUGUCUAGUAAAAUUAGAUUCUGAAUAAAAAUGAAUAUGCAUAUGUAAUAUUUAAUAAUUUAACAGUCUAUUUGUAUUUUAUUCGAAGAUUUCAAAGUAAAAUAACCAUUAACUUGACAAGUAAUAUCAAAUUAA